GGGGGGGCCGUGGCUAUAAUGCAAGUCGACGCGCAGCGAGAGGUGCUUGCACCUUUCAAGCGAGUGGCGAACGGGUGAGUAACACGUGGAUAACCUGCCUCAAGGCUGGGGAUAACAUUUGGAAACAGAUGCUAAUACCGAAUAAAACUUAGUAUCGCAUGAUAUCAAGUUAAAAGGCGCUACGGCGUCACCUAGAGAUGGAUCCGCGGUGCAUUAGUUAGUUGGUGGGGUAAAGGCUUACCAAGACGAUGAUGCAUAGCCGAGUUGAGAGACUGAUCGGCCACAUUGGGACUGAGACACGGCCCAAACUCCUACGGGAGGCUGCAGUAGGGAAUCUUCCACAAUGGGCGCAAGCCUGAUGGAGCAACGCCGCGUGUGUGAUGAAGGCUUUCGGGUCGUAAAGCACUGUUGUAUGGGAAGAAAUGCUAAAAUAGGGAAUGAUUUUAGUUUGACGGUACCAUACCAGAAAGGGACGGCUAAAUACGUGCCAGCAGCCGCGGUAAUACGUAUGUCCCGAGCGUUAUCCGGAUUUAUUGGGCGUAAAGCGAGCGCAGACGGUUGAUUAAGUCUGAUGUGAAAGCCCGGAGCUCAACUCCGGAAUGGCAUUGGAAACUGGUUAACUUGAGUGUUGUAGAGGUAAGUGGAACUCCAUGUGUAGCGGUGGAAUGCGUAGAUAUAUGGAAGAACACCAGUGGCGAAGGCGGCUUACUGGACAACAACUGACGUUGAGGCUCGAAAGUGUGGGUAGCAAACAGGAUUAGAUACCCUGGUAGUCCACACCGUAAACGAUGAAUACUAGGUGUUAGGAGGUUUCCGCCUCUUAGUGCCGAAGCUAACGCAUUAAGUAUUCCGCCUGGGGAGUACGACCGCAAGGUUGAAACUCAAAGGAAUUGACGGGGACCCGCACAAGCGGUGGAGCAUGUGGUUUAAUUCGAAGCAACGCGAAGAACCUUACCAGGUCUUGACAUCCUUUGAAGCUUUUAGAGAUAGAAGUGUUCUCUUCGGAGACAAAGUGACAGGUGGUGCAUGGUCGUCGUCAGCUCGUGUCGUGAGAUGUUGGGUUAAGUCCCGCAACGAGCGCAACCCUUAUUGUUAGUUGCCAGCAUUCAGUUGGGCACUCUAGCGAGACUGCCGGUGACAAACCGGAGGAAGGCGGGGACGACGUCAGAUCAUCAUGCCCCUUAUGACCUGGGCUACACACGUGCUACAAUGGCGUAUACAACGAGUUGCCAACCUGCGAAGGUGAGCUAAUCUCUUAAAGUACGUCUCAGUUCGGACUGCAGUCUGCAACUCGACUGCACGAAGUCGGAAUCGCUAGUAAUCGCGGAUCAGCACGCCGCGGUGAAUACGUUCCCGGGUCUUGUACACACCGCCCGUCACACCAUGGGAGUUUGUAAUGCCCAAAGCCGGUGGCCUAACCUUCGGGAGGAGCCGUCUAAGCAGAACCAGAAGGG
rnacentral:rRNA from 1 species